CAAAUCUGGCUUAAGUUAAGAGUAGAGGCAAACGGCUAUUACUAUCUGCUGGCUGCUGGGCAGCCUAUGCAAAAUGAGCCCUUAGUUUUUAGGACUGUUCCUAUUAGAUAAAUUCUCACUUUGUAAAAUCACCUCUGUAACCAGAAACCUUCAUCAGCAAUCUCAGUGUCCUAGACAUAUGGAAAUAGAGAAACACAAAGGCUUAUUACUGAUAAAUUAGUUCUUUCCCAUCAGUGCAGGGAUGAGGUUGCUGAUGAUGAACUACAUUGCAGUUAUGCCUAAAGUAUUCCUAAAGUACUGGUGUUUUGUCUAGAGGUUUCUACAUGCCAAGAAAGUCUUUUUCAUUAUUUCCCAGGAGGCCCAGAUCUAAGUGUAGUAGAGGAUUUUACAAUUAGUCUAUUUUCUCAUGAGAUGCAGCCUAAAUUUUUCUUCUUUUUAACUCAAUCACAUAUUUUUUAGCUUAAACUCUCUUCUGCUCCAUAUAAUUCUUGUCUCUGCUGCUGUCUGAAUCUUAGUAGUUAAGUUUACAACGCCUCUACCUCCCCCUACAUCACAGAACUAAAUGUUUUCAGUGUUUUCUCCUCCCCAGCUCCUUCCCCCCCCCAUCACAAGCUUCCAUGAUUACCAUUUUAUCCCAACCUCACAUCUCUGAUAGCUGAUUCAUUUCUAGUUUACAUCCUGUUCUUCCCAGACCCCAUCAGGUCACACAGCAGACUGACCCGUAAGACGAAUGCUGCAGCCCAGGGGUGGUACAGCAGGGUGGUAGUGUACGGCAGCCCUCAGUGGGAGCUCUGCUAAGCCUAGAGUCGAGGCAAAAUGCCUGAUUGUACAGUGCACAAAUAUGUGAGACAAAGGAGAAAGAGCAGGAGAAGGAAACAGGGGUAGAAACAUACAGAUUUGUUCACCACUUAAAGCAUGACACUAAAGUCCACCAAGCUGCCCUAGCUUGAGAGGAGAAUUAGGUCCUUGUCACAGCCCAUUGUUCCUUCUUUUCCUUACAAUAUUGCUUGAUUACAACUGCGAUUUCAUCAUUUCUGAACUUGUAAUUUGGAUAUGGCUUGCACUUUUCCGUCAUGGUCUGUGCUAUGCACCAUGGUGCGAGGAAGUCCCCAGAGGCCAUUUCAGACCCUUCCCCUUCCCCCUGAACCAUGGCUCGGGCACCUCACAAAAAUUACCUGCAGACCUGAUCGUAAAGGAUGAUUCAAUGAUGAACCUUCUUCUUUAGACCUUUUCUUAGAAACUGUUCAGCCCAUCAUUUCGGAAAGCAAAUAAGCAUGAGAGAUUCAUAGCAGCUUUCGGACUAAUCACAGACCAAACAUUACUAUUUACUACCAUAUAAUAACCAAAAGCUGACAUUCACAGCCAAAAGUCACAGCCAAAAUUCUUUCUGGCAAACACACAGACAAACUUGGACCCAAGAAAAAUUGCACUGGCAAUCAGGGAGAUCACCUGGAUGCAGGAGUCUUCUUUUGUGGCUCAAAUAGCACAGUCCACAGUUCUCAUUUCAUCCUUUUGUUGGCAAGUAUAUUUCAACACCAGCUGAAUUUGUACAAUAUAUGUUUAAAAGUUAGGAUGGAAUAUAUCAGAAAUAUUUAACAGAUAUCCAAACACUCAGAGCUGAAGGAAAUUUUGGACUUUUGCUGCCAAUAUUAACUGGAACAGAAAAUGUUUUCUCUGUUUGCUCAUACAGGGAAAGUAAUUUCUUCAAAUAUGGAGAAAAAUAAAUUUUAGGACAGAACCCUAGGUUAUAUAGUA
rnacentral:lncRNA from 1 species